UACGUAGGGUCCGAGCGUUGUCCGGAAUUACUGGGCGUAAGGAGCUCGUAGGUGGUUUGUCGCGUUGUUCGUGAAAACUCACAGCUUAACUGUGGGCGUGCGGGCGAUACGGGCAGACUGGAGUACUGCAGGGGAGACUGGAAUUCCUGGUGUAGCGGUGGAAUGCGCAGAUAUCAGGAGGAACACCGGUGGCGAAGGCGGGUCUCUGGGCAGUAACUGACGCUGAGGAGCGAAAGCGUGGGGAGCGAACGGG
rnacentral:rRNA from 1 species